GGCAGUUCUAGGGUGACACACCCCAGAAUCAAGCUCCCUCCUCUCUGGUUCCAGGUGCAUAACCCGAGAACUUCC
rfam:Myotis lucifugus cont2.22318, whole genome shotgun sequence.